rnacentral:rRNA from 1 species
GACGUAGGGCGCGAGCGUUGUCCGGAUUUAUUGGGCGUAGAGAGCUCGUAGGCGGCUUGUCGCGUCGACUGUGAAAUCCCGCGGCUCAACUGCGGGUCUGCAGUCGAUACGGGCAGGCUAGAGUUCGGUAGGGGAGACUGGAAUUCCUGGUGUAGCGGUGAAAUGCGCAGAUAUCAGGAGGAACACCGAUGGCGAAGGCAGGUCUCUGGGCCGAUACUGACGCUGAGGAGCGAAAGCGUGGGGAGCGAACAGG